UGGGUUCAGUGUGUGUAUCUU
rnacentral:piRNA from 1 species